UGUCCAUUUCAAUAAAGUGUCAGAUUUCAUCACAAAUACAUAAAAAAUGAAUCACAAAUGACUCACCCAUUUGUGGCCAUUUUUGGCUGGCUUUUCCUUUUCAUU